rnacentral:rRNA from 1 species
AACGAACGCUGGCGGCAUGCCUAACACAUGCAAGUCGAACGAGACCUUCGGGUCUAGUGGCGCACGGGUGCGUAACGCGUGGGAACCUGCCCUUAGGUUCGGAAUAACUCCCCGAAAGGGGUGCUAAUACCGGAUAAUGUCUUCGGACCAAAGAUUUAUCGCCUUUGGAUGGGCCCGCGUUGGAUUAGCUAGUUGGUAGGGUAAAAGCCUACCAAGGCGACGAUCCAUAGCUGGUCUGAGAGGAUGAUCAGCCACACUGGGACUGAGACACGGCCCAGACUCCUACGGGAGGCAGCAGUGGGGAAUAUUGGACAAUGGGCGAAAGACUGAUCCAGCAAUGCCGCGUGAGUGAUGAAGGCAUUAGGGUUGUAAAGCUCUUUUACCCGGGAUGAUAAUGACAGUACCGGGAGAAUAAGCUCAGGCUAACUCCGUG